rnacentral:tRNA from 1 species
AGCACAAUAGCUCAGUGGUAUAGAGCACCACAGCGCCUAUGAGAGGUCGCGGGUUCAAAUCCCGCUUGUGUGC